rnacentral:rRNA from 1 species
GACGAACGCUGGCGGCGUGCCUAAUACAUGCAAGUCGAGCGAAGUUUUUCUGGUGCUUGCACCGGAAAAACUUAGCGGCGAACGGGUGAGUAACACGUAAAGAACCUGCCUCAUAGACUGGGACAACUAUUGGAAACGAUAGCUAAUACCGGAUAAUAGCAUUAACUGCAUGGUUGAUGUUUAAAAGUUGGUUUUGCUAACACUAUGAGAUGGCUUUGCGGUGCAUUAGCUAGUUGGUGGGGUAAAGGCCUACCAAGGCGACGAUGCAUAGCCGACCUGAGAGGGUGAUCGGCCCCACUGGGACUGAGCCACGGCCCAGACUCCUACGGGAGGCAGCAGUAGGGAAUCUUCCGCAAUGGGCGAAAGCCUGACGGAGCAACGCCGCGUGAGUGAAGAAGGAUUUCGGUUCGUAAAGCUCUGUUGUUAGGGAAGAAUGAUUGUGUAGUAACUAUACACAGUAGAGACGGUACCUAACCAGAAAGCCACGGCUAACUACGUG